UUAAGCGACUAAGCGUACACGGUGGAUGCCCUGGCAGUCAGAGGCGAUGAAGGACGUGCUAAUCUGCGAAAAGCGUCGGUAAGGUGAUAUGAACCGUUACAGCCGGCGAUGUCCGAAUGGGGAAACCCAGUGUGAUUCGUCACACUAUCGUUAACUGAAUACAUAGGUUAACGAGGCGAACCGGGGGAACUGAAACAUCUAAGUACCCCGAGGAAAAGAAAUCAACCGAGAUUCCCCCAGUAGCGGCGAGCGAACGGGGAGCAGCCCAGAGUCUGAAUCAGCUUGUGUGUUAGUGGAACGGUCUGGAAAGUCCGACGGUACAGGGUGAUAGUCCCGUACACCAAAAUGCACAGGCUGUGAACUCGAAGAGUAGGGCGGGACACGUGGUAUCCUGUCUGAAUAUGGGGGGACCAUCCUCCAAGGCUAAAUACUCCUGACUGACCGAUAGUGAACCAGUACCGUGAGGGAAAGGCGAAAAGAACCCCGGCGAGGGGAGUGAAAAAGAACCUGAAACCGUGUACGUACAAGCAGUGGGAGCACCUUCGGGUGUGACUGCGUACCUUUUGUAUAAUGGGUCAGCGACUUAUAUUCUGUAGCAAGGUUAACCGUAUAGGGGAGCCGCAGGGAAACCGAGUCUUAACUGGGCGUUAAGUUGCAGGGUAUAGACCCGAAACCCGGUGAUCUAGCCAUGGGCAGGUUGAAGGUUGGGUAACACUAACUGGAGGACCGAACCGACUAAUGUUGAAAAAUUAGCGGAUGACUUGUGGCUGGGGGUGAAAGGCCAAUCAAACCGGGAGAUAGCUGGUUCUCCCCGAAAGCUAUUUAGGUAGCGCCUCGUGAACUCAUCUUCGGGGGUAGAGCACUGUUUCGGCUAGGGGGUCAUCCCGACUUACCAACCCGAUGCAAACUACGAAUACCGAAGAAUGUUAUCACGGGAGACACACGGCGGGUGCUAACGUCCGUCGUGAAGAGGGAAACAACCCAGACCGCCAGCUAAGGUCCCAAAGUCACAGUUAAGUGGGAAACGAUGUGGGAAGGCACAGACAGCCAGGAUGUUGGCUUAGAAGCAGCCAUCAUUUAAAGAAAGCGUAAUAGCUCACUGGUCGAGUCGGCCUGCGCGGAAGAUGUAACGGGGCUAAACUGUGCACCGAAGCUGCGGCAGCGACACUAUGUGUUGUUGGGUAGGGGAGCGUUCUGUAAGCCUGCGAAGGUGGCCUGUGAGGGUUGCUGGAGGUAUCAGAAGUGCGAAUGCUGACAUAAGUAACGAUAAUGCGGGUGAAAAGCCCGCACGCCGGAAGACCAAGGGUUCCUGUCCAACGUUAAUCGGGGCAGGGUGAGUCGACCCCUAAGGCGAGGCCGAAAGGCGUAGUCGAUGGGAAACAGGUUAAUAUUCCUGUACUUGGUGUUACUGCGAAGGGGGGACGGAGAAGGCUAUGUUAGCCGGGCGACGGUUGUCCCGGUUUAAGCAUGUAGGCGGAGGUUCCAGGUAAAUCCGGUACCUUUUUAACGCUGAGGUGUGAUGACGAGGCACUACGGUGCUGAAGUAACAAAUGCCCUGCUUCCAGGAAAAGCCUCUAAGCAUCAGGUAACAUUAAAUCGUACCCCAAACCGACACAGGUGGUCAGGUAGAGAAUACCAAGGCGCUUGAGAGAACUCGGGUGAAGGAACUAGGCAAAAUGGUGCCGUAACUUCGGGAGAAGGCACGCUGAUAUGUAGGUGAAGCCCCUGCGGGUGGAGCUGAAAUCAGUCGAAGAUACCAGCUGGCUGCAACUGUUUAUUAAAAACACAGCACUGUGCAAACACGAAAGUGGACGUAUACGGUGUGACGCCUGCCCGGUGCCGGAAGGUUAAUUGAUGGGGUUAUCCGUAAGGAGAAGCUCUUGAUCGAAGCCCCGGUAAACGGCGGCCGUAACUAUAACGGUCCUAAGGUAGCGAAAUUCCUUGUCGGGUAAGUUCCGACCUGCACGAAUGGCGUAAUGAUGGCCAGGCUGUCUCCACCCGAGACUCAGUGAAAUUGAACUCGCUGUGAAGAUGCAGUGUACCCGCGGCAAGACGGAAAGACCCCGUGAACCUUUACUAUAGCUUGACACUGAACAUUGAGCCUUGAUGUGUAGGAUAGGUGGGAGGCUUUGAAGCGUGGACGCCAGUCUGCGUGGAGCCAACCUUGAAAUACCACCCUUUAAUGUUUGAUGUUCUAACGUUGGCCCCUUAUCGGGGUUGCGGACAGUGUCUGGUGGGUAGUUUGACUGGGGCGGUCUCCUCCCAAAGAGUAACGGAGGAGCACGAAGGUUAGCUAAUCCUGGUCGGACAUCAGGAGGUUAGUGCAAUGGCAUAAGCUAGCUUGACUGCGAGCGUGACGGCGCGAGCAGGUGCGAAAGCAGGUCAUAGUGAUCCGGUGGUUCUGAAUGGAAGGGCCAUCGCUCAACGGAUAAAAGGUACUCCGGGGAUAACAGGCUGAUACCGCCCAAGAGUUCAUAUCGACGGCGGUGUUUGGCACCUCGAUGUCGGCUCAUCACAUCCUGGGGCUGAAGUAGGUCCCAAGGGUAUGGCUGUUCGCCAUUUAAAGUGGUACGCGAGCUGGGUUUAGAACGUCGUGAGACAGUUCGGUCCCUAUCUGCCGUGGGCGCUGGAGAAUUGAGGGGGGCUGCUCCUAGUACGAGAGGACCGGAGUGGACGCAUCACUGGUGUUCGGGUUGUCAUGCCAAUGGCAUUGCCCGGUAGCUAAAUGCGG
rnacentral:rRNA from 1 species